GGGGCUAUAGCUCAGCUGGGAGAGCGCAACACUGGCAGUGUUGAGGUCGACGGUUCGAUCCCGUCUAGCUCCACCA
rnacentral:tRNA from 4 species